rnacentral:rRNA from 1 species
AGUCUGACCAGCGACGCCGCGUGAUGAUGAAGGCCUUCGGAUCGUAAAGCUCUUUCAGCGGGAGGUAAGUGUAUGUACGUGUAUGUGCAUAUUUGGACUUUACCUCUCAAAGACAGCCCCGGUUAACUCCGGGCCCCCCGCCGCGGCAAUACGGAGGGGGCAAGCCUUGAUCUAUUGGACUGGGCGGGUGCGGCACCUAGGUGGCGUUUCAAGUCACUGGUCAAAAACGAGAGCUUAACUUUCGGCAUGCCGGUGAAACUGGAUUGCUUUAGUAUCGGAGAGGAAUGCGGAAUAUCUGGUGUAGCGGUGGAAUGCGUAGAUAUCAAAUGGAACACCGUUUGCAAAGGCGGCUUUCUGGCCGAUAACUGACACUGAGGUGCAAAACCUUGGGUAGCAAACAGGAUUAAAUACCCUGGUAUUCCACCCUGUAAACAAUGGAUACUAGAUGUCGGAAAUAAUUUGUGGUGUCCCAACUAACACAUUAAAUAUCCCGCCGGGGGAGUACGUACGCAAGUAUGAAACUCGAGGGAUUUGGCGG